rnacentral:rRNA from 1 species
CGUUCUUCUUGCUGGCGACCGGCGCACGGGUGAGUAACACGUAUCCAACCUGCCCUUUACUCGGGGAUAGCCUUUCGAAAGAAAGAUUAAUACCCGAUAGCAUAAUGAUUCCGCAUGGUUUCAUUAUUAAAGGAUUCCGGUAAAGGAUGGGGAUGCGUUCCAUUAGGUUGUUGGUGAGGUAACGGCCCACCAAGCCUUCGAUGGAUAGGGGUUCUGAGAGGAAGGUCCCCCACAUUGGAACUGAGACACGGUCCAA